rnacentral:rRNA from 1 species
GAUGAACGCUGGCGGCGUGCCUAAUACAUGCAAGUCGAGCGAACAGACGAGGAGCUUGCUCCUCUGACGUUAGCGGCGGACGGGUGAGUAACACGUGGAUAACCUACCUAUAAGACUGGGAUAACUUCGGGAAACCAGAGCUAAUACCGAAUAAUAUAUUGAACCGCCUGGUUCAAUAGUGAAAGUCGGUUUUUCUGUCACUUAUAGAUGGAUCCGCGCCGCAUUAGCUAGUUGGUAAGGUAACGGCUUACCAAGGCUACGAUGCGUAGCCGACCUGAGAGGGUGAUCGGCCACACUGGAACUGAGACACGGUCCAGACUCCUACGGGAGGCAGCAGUAGGGAAUCUUCCGCAAUGGGCGAAAGCCUGACGGAGCAACGCCGCGUGAGUGAUGAAGGUCUUCGGAUCGUAAAACUCUGUUAUUAGGGAAGAACAAAUGUGUAAGUAACUAUGCACGUCUUGACGGUACCUAAUCAGAAAGCCACGGCUAACUACGUG